UAAUGUGAACCUCGAAUGGCUCAUUAAUCAGUUAUGGUUCCUUAGAUCGUACUUACUACUUGGAUAACUGUGGUAAUUCUAGAGCUAAUACAUGCAGAGAGCUCCGACCCUCGUGGAAGGAGUGCUUUUAUUAGAUCAAAGCCAAUCGGACUUUCGGGUCCGUUUUGUUGGUGACUCUGAAUAACUUUGCUGAUCGCAUGGUCUCGUACCGGCGACGUAUCUUUCAAGUGUCUGCCUUAUCAACUGUCGAUGGUAGGUUAUGCGCCUACCAUGGUUGUAACGGGUAACGGGGAAUCAGGGUUCGAUUCCGGAGAGGGAGCCUGAGAAACGGCUACCACAUCCAAGGAAGGCAGCAGGCGCGCAAAUUACCCACUCCCGGCACGGGGAGGUAGUGACGAAAAAUAACGAUACGGAACUCUACAUGAGGCUCCGUAAUCGGAAUGAGUACACUUUAAAUCCUUUAACGAGGAUCUAUUGGAGGGCAAGUCUGGUGCCAGCAGCCGCGGUAAUUCCAGCUUCCAAUANCGUAUAUUAAAGUGGUUGCGGGUUAAAAACUCGUAAUUGG
rnacentral:rRNA from 1 species